UUUGAUCCUGGCUCAGGAUGAACGCUGGCGGCGUGCCUAAUACAUGCAAGUCGAACGCGCAGCGAGAGGUGCUUGCACCUUUCAAGCGAGUGGCGAACGGGUGAGUAACACGUGGAUAACCUGCCUCAAGGCUGGGGAUAACAUUUGGAAACAGAUGCUAAUACCGAAUAAAACUUAGUAUCGCAUGAUAUCAAGUUAAAAGGCGCUACGGCGUCACCUAGAGAUGGAUCCGCGGUGCAUUAGUUAGUUGGUGGGGUAAAGGCUUACCAAGGCGAUGAUGCAUAGCCGAGUUGAGAGACUGAUCGGCCACAUUGGGACUGAGACACGGCCCAAACUCCUACGGGAGGCUGCAGUAGGGAAUCUUCCACAAUGGGCGCAAGCCUGAUGGAGCAACGCCGCGUGUGUGAUGAAGGCUUUCGGGUCGUAAAGCACUGUUGUAUGGGAAGAGAUGCUAAAAUAGGGAAUGAUUUUAGUUUGACGGUACCAUACCAGAAAGGGACGGCUAAAUACGUGCCAGCAGCCGCGGUAAUA
rnacentral:rRNA from 1 species